GUUUUCCACUCUGCUUCCUGUCACCCCAUAAAACUAACCAAACCACGUAGGAUGAGAAGGUAGAUAAUCCAAAGGUCAACAAAUUCAGCUCUUCUGUCAUGCUGUGGUGCUUCCAUAGUCUCUAUCUACUGAUUGGAAAGCCUACCCCAUCCUGGUGCUACGCAAGGACAAACCACAUCACUUCAUGAUGUAUAUUUUCACCAUCUAUCAGGACUCUCCAGUUCCAGGUAUAUAAUCCUGGGGGGUGAGAAAAUGUGAAAAUAAAUCAUGGCCCAGCACAAAGCAAAGCUGAAUUUUAAGAACUUCUUUGUAGUUUCAAAGAGAGAAAAUUCCAAAAUAUUUUGGAGACAAAACAUUCCAGAAUUAUUAUCUUUUGAGUUUACUUUGAGAAACAAUUCAGAUGUCAAAAGGAGCCCUCGCAUCCAAGCAACACCUGAAGAAUCGUCCCUCCGCAGCUUCUCUCCCUAUUCCUCUCGCUUGUAGCUGAAGUUAAUGACUUCUAUCAGAAGGCAGUGGAAAAGGACUCAGUUUUGCUUAAGGGGCUGGCCCCUGGGAGUCUGACCAUGCUCCGGACACCAGCUUUGUGGGUUUGUAAACUCCUUUUUUUUUCCUGGGAGACCAUCGGGAACCUAUGAGUGAGUGGACUGAGGGGGAGGAACCCAACAGUCUAGUUCCCCUAUUGCAAAGCUGGAGAACUGAUGGCUUUGAUAAAGGAGCUACUUUUUGUAUUAUUUCCUCAAGUUUAUAAUAUUCCACUAAUGUUAAGACAAAAAUCCUUUCUGGGACUCAAUUCUAAAUUUGGUUUCUUGUAAAAAA